rnacentral:rRNA from 1 species
UACGUAGGAGGCAAGCGUUGUCCGGAAUACUGGGCGUAAAGCGCGUGUAGGUGGUGGGACAAGUCUGCUGUGAAAGCGCCUGGCUUAACCGGGCGAGGUCGGCGGAAACUGUCCGACUCGAGGACGGUAGAGGGGGUGGAAUUCCCGGUGUAGUGGUGAAAUGCAUAGAGAUCGGGAGGAACACCUGUGGCGAAGGCGGCCCCCUGGCCGGCCCUGACACUGAGACGCGGAAGGCGUGGGAGCGAACGGG